AUAAUUUCCUGCCCCACUCUAAUUAGAAUUUGACUUAUAAUACAACUCAAACUUGCUUCUGCAGUAGAAAACUGGUUACAGCAGUGUUCAAUAAGUUUCUAGACUGUAUAGUACAUCUUCACUAGCUUUAAGAAUAUUGCAUUAAUGUGCGGAAGAUAAGUGUUGAAAAGAUAAGAAAGUGUUUUUCAAUAAUAAAAAUUAAAAUAAUUUCUCAUAGAUAUUUCUCGAACACAAUCAGAUAUAGUAAAAUACAUUUUUAUUGUAAUUCAAACUAAGUUUCAAUGUCACUAAUAAAAAGAAUCACAUUAGAAGAGGAAAUGGAAAAAAAGUUCUGAAUUGAAACUAUCGGAUAUACAAUCACUGAAAGAAUGGUGCGAGAAACAACCGCACUUGCCAAAAA
rnacentral:lncRNA from 13 species